UGAUGAGAUUAAGUUUCCUUUUAAUUUUGUACUGAAAAUUUAGUGACAACACUAUAUAUUAUGGGUCUGCCUAAAAUCAGUCCACCUCUUAUGAGUUUAUGUGAUGUACUAUUCAAUUUAAAGUAUUAGAUUAGAUUGAGAAACAAUCUAAUAGUUUAUAUUUAAAUUAUUAUUAAUUUAUUAAAAAUUACACUUAAACACAAUAACUAUUUUGUUAUUUUACAAUUACCCACUAUAAAAUUUUAGAAUCAAACCCUACUUGCUGCAACGAUGAGCCCUUCCUCCACCCACUUCUUCUGUCUUCUUCAUCAAACAGGUCUGCCUUCUUCCUCUUCGCAACGUCCCUCCGCUUCUUCCUCCACCCACUAUCCACUGCCUUCUUCCACAUCACGAUGAACCUCCUUUUCUUCUUCUACCCCCUUUAUGUCUGCCUUCUUCCUCUUCGUGACGUCCUCGAAAUAGUAAUAAUCAGGAGGGGCAGCUGCGGUGGCAAAGGGGAAGAGAAGGACGGGGGAGGAACCAGUGGACAAGGCCACUCUUCAGAAGCAUAGACAUAUGAUCAAGAGUCUGCUGCUAGGUCCAGGAAACGCAAACAGUAAAUAACAGAAAUUCAAUUUGGCAUCAUUUUCUUGGAACUUUUCCAUCCUGUUCCUGGAACUUUUCAUAUGUGAAGAUCUAUAAUCUGCAUCUGCUUGUAUAGUCAUUGCCGAUUCUCUAAUGUCACCUCACCACCAAGAGAGCGGGUAACAAAUCCGCCACUACAUGCACCUAUUUUGCAACAUUCUUCAAGGGACCAUUUCAUACAAAAUCCACUAGCAAAAAGGUCUCCUACUCCAGUAACAUCUAUCGCUUUUGCUUCCCCUGUGGCUGGGACACGUACCACCUAACAUGGAAAGAGAAACAUAGUUCAUGAUAGCAAAUAGAUAUUAGAUCAUUAAUCACAUGAGCUUUAAACUAGUUCACAUUAUGAUCGAGUGUCACAAAUGUAAAACUACCAAGAAAACCUGAACUUUAUCUUAACGGUUUUUCAAUUUAGAUCAUAAUAAUAUGCCUAAUAUGCAUUCAUUAUGACACAGUAAAAACAUUUUUGGCAAAUAACUAGUCCCAUGCUCCUAUACAUGGUGAAUUUUUCUGAUUUACGCACCUUCUUGCCAUGUUAGCAAUGCAUCCAUUAUUGCCCAAAGUUACCACAGCCUAUUUGCAAUAUUUAGCCAGAAAUUCUACAGCAGCAACUAGAUCGGCAUUAUGCUCAUCCCUGAAAAUAAUGGUAAUGUAAAUGGAUGUAAUGUACCAAAAGAGUGGAACAGAGGUCUAUGUUGCCAGACUCCAAUAACUUCAUAAGUGGUGGCUUAAAAUCAAACCCUACUUCCAAUAACUCAUGAUACCUCACUAGGCUAUAUGCAAGAAAUUUGUUGUAAUGCUUUCAAUUAGAAAUGAUCUUGGCAAUUUUCGGCAUAGUUUUCAGUUUCCAACUCAACUUAUGCUUGGUGUAAUAGGAUCCAUGAAUGGUUUUAUUUUGUUGUCAUUGAAGAUCAUGUUUCGCUUCCAUAAUUACAAUUUGCACUUUCCAACUCAACUUAUGCUUGGUGUAAUAGGAUCCAUGAAUGGUUUUAUUCUGUUGUCAUUGAAGAUCAUGUUCCGCUUCCAUAAUUAUAGUUUGGUUAAUUCAGACGAGUGAGCAACCUUGUUAAUAGCUAAUUCUAGUUAAAAUAAGAUUGGAUUAUGUUAAAACUCUUUAUCAAAAUAUAUUUAUAAAGAUAUUUAAAGAGGAAUAUAUUAUUCUAAAAACAAUUUAGAAUGAUAUAUGAAGAAGUACAUCAUUGCAUUACAUUAUUCUGAUAACUAGAAAUACAAAAUACCAUAGACUAAGUUUGAUUGCAAAAAGUGAUACAUUUUAGAAACUAAAAUUUAUUGAAUAUAUAAUCCAGCAACUCCAACACACUACAUGUAUCUUGGCACUAGCAGUAACCACCCAGGUCAAAUGAGUCCAUCCCAGAUUAGAAGUGCGGAGCGAAUCUGCAUCAAUAUGCAACCAAAUGGAUGUAUCAUGUACGUGGAUGUUCUACAAAAUAUGUAGAACCAUAAAUGCACUAAAAAAAAUAAAAAAUCAAGCUGCAUUAACAAAUCAAAAAUAGAAUUAGAACAUCACAAAUAGAAUUAUAAACACAAAAAUUGAAAUCAGAUUCAUAAAAACAAAUUCCAAAAUUUUAUAAUCCUCAUAAACAGAACAAGAAAAAUUCGAACAAACAUAUAACUAGAAAACAACAAUUGAAUGAAAUCAAUGAAGCAAAUUCAUACAAAAAAUUGAACAAUUAGAUAAAUGGAACAAAAAAAUUGAAUUAAAUCAAUGAAGCAAAUUUAUGCAUGAGGUUGAGGAUCCAUUGGAACUGAGACCUACGUCGCCGCUACUUGCUAAGGACGAUGCCGCUGAGGAGGAAGAACGAUGCGGGUGCACGACGACGGCACUCCGAGUUUGAGAACGAACAAUGCGAAGAGAGAUACCGAGAAUGAAUGACGUGGAGAGAGAUGUUAAGAAUGACGCCGGGAGAGGGACUGAGAACGGCAGCAAUUACUGGACUGGACGGCUAUGGCACAGAUCCAGAGAAGAGUAAUGGUGGUGGUGGCAGUAGUUCUGUGUAUAGAAAAGAGAGUGCAGUGAGUUUGGGGUAAAAAAAAUUAGGGUGGCUCAAAAUGAAUUUUAGAAACAUUUGAGUGAAUAUAAAAAAUUAAUAAUUAUUAUUAAACGGGUCUGUCUAAAAUCAGCCCAAAUGUUUUGAGCUUAUUUGAUGCACCAUAAAAUUUGAACCAUUAGAUUAGAUUGAUAAGCAAUCUAAUGGUUAGAAUUUAAUUUAUAAAUAACUUAUUAAGAAUUACACUAAAAAAUAACAAGUCUUUUGAUAUUUUAAAAUUUCCCCAUAUAAAAUUUGAGACCCAAACUCUCGUUUCUGCAAUUCUGCUACUUGCUGCCGGAAGACCUUCGUGACCCUGGUGUUUCUUGCUCUACGCUCUUCUGCACCAGACGCAGUGCCUCUUUAGUUCUUCCGAGAUCCUCCUCCGCGCCAUGACUCUCCCUGCACGUCUACUCUCCACUAGCUCAGAUCGAAUUUCCAGAUUUUAAUGAGAUUGUGGCUCCAGUAACUCUGGCUGAUGAAGAGAUUGGCCUUGAACGAGGUGGAAGUCAGUCAGAUCGCAUGUCAUCAUUAUCUAUGCAGAACCCUGACAUCCUAAGUGUUAAUAAACUUUUAGAAUUGGUUUUGGAAACUGUACGGCAAGUGACAAGUCUCUCCAUUUCUUCAGCUCCAGUACCUUAUGACCAAAUGAAGAACUAAUGUGAGGCACUUGUUACAGGGAAACAACAGAAGAUGUCAGUUCUUCAAAGUUUCAAACACCAGCAAGAGACUAGAGCGCUUGUUCUUUCAAGUGAUUAUGAAAUAAAAGUUCCCCCUCUGGCAACUAAGGAUAGGAUGUUUUACCAUAAUGGGAAAGAACAAAGUUUUCUUCAGGAUUUGUUGUUGAAUGUUCUCAUUAGUGUUUUGGUAGCUUUAGAGUAUGUGCUUCAUUAUCAGGAUUCACACCCAAUGAGAAAACUUUUUAUGUAUUUAGAUGAUGCUCUUAACUUAGUAUUAUUUAAAGUUUCAACUGAUCCAAUUAAUUAAGAGAUGAUUUAUACAAAGUUAAUUGAGGUAUAUGUAGAGGUCAUGAACAUUCUAUAGACAUGAUUCACAAUAGGAUAAUAUGGUGUCAUGUGAUGGCAGUAUCUACUUAGUGGAAGGUUUUGGUUUUAUUGUUGUAUAGGUGCAGUAGCCAGUAGGCAAGGCAUGUAGUUAAUUUAUUUAUUUAUUGCUGUUAUAUGUUGUGUUUCUAAUAUCAAAAUAAUUGUGUGUAUAUAUUUAAUUUGUAGGGCAACAAUCAAACCAUUUAUCUUUCAUUUUUAGUACUCUUUUCA